GUCGAGCGGUAGCACAGAGAGCUUGCUCUCGGGUGACGAGCGGCGGACGGGUGAGUAAUGUCUGGGAAACUGCCUGAUGGAGGGGGAUAACUACUGGAAACGGUAGCUAAUACCGCAUAAUGUCGCAAGACCAAAGUGGGGGACCUUCGGGCCUCAUGCCAUCAGAUGUGCCCAGAUGGGAUUAGCUAGUAGGUGGGGUAACGGCUCACCUAGGCGACGAUCCCUAGCUGGUCUGAGAGGAUGACCAGCCACACUGGAACUGAGACACGGUCCAGACUCCUACGGGAGGCAGCAGUGGGGAAUAUUGCACAAUGGGCGCAAGCCUGAUGCAGCCAUGCCGCGUGUGUGAAGAAGGCCUUCGGGUUGUAAAGCACUUUCAGCGGGGAGGAAGGCGGUGAGGUUAAUAACCUCAUCGAUUGACGUUACCCGCAGAAGAAGCACCGGCUAACUCCGUGCCAGCAGCCGCGGUAAUACGGAGGGUGCAAGCGUUAAUCGGAAUUACUGGGCGUAAAGCGCACGCAGGCGGUCUGUCAAGUCGGAUGUGAAAUCCCCGGGCUCAACCUGGGAACUGCAUUCGAAACUGGCAGGCUAGAGUCUUGUAGAGGGGGGUAGAAUUCCAGGUGUAGCGGUGAAAUGCGUAGAGAUCUGGAGGAAUACCGGUGGCGAAGGCGGCCCCCUGGACAAAGACUGACGCUCAGGUGCGAAAGCGUGGGGAGCAAACAGGAUUAGAUACCCUGGUAGUCCACGCCGUAAACGAUGUCGAUUUGGAGGUUGUGCCCUUGAGGCGUGGCUUCCGGAGCUAACGCGUUAAAUCGACCGCCUGGGGAGUACGGCCGCAAGGUUAAAACUCAAAUGAAUUGACGGGGGCCCGCACAAGCGGUGGAGCAUGUGGUUUAAUUCGAUGCAACGCGAAGAACCUUACCUGGUCUUGACAUCCACAGAACUUUCCAGAGAUGGAUUGGUGCCUUCGGGAACUGUGAGACAGGUGCUGCAUGGCUGUCGUCAGCUCGUGUUGUGAAAUGUUGGGUUAAGUCCCGCAACGAGCGCAACCCUUAUCCUUUGUUGCCAGCGGUCCGGCCGGGAACUCAAAGGAGACUGCCAGUGAUAAACUGGAGGAAGGUGGGGAUGACGUCAAGUCAUCAUGGCCCUUACGACCAGGGCUACACACGUGCUACAAUGGCAUAUACAAAGAGAAGCGACCUCGCGAGAGCAAGCGGACCUCAUAAAGUAUGUCGUAGUCCGGAUUGGAGUCUGCAACUCGACUCCAUGAAGUCGGAAUCGCUAGUAAUCGUAGAUCAGAAUGCUACGGUGAAUACGUUCCCGGGCCUUGUACACACCGCCCGUCACACCAUGGGAGUGGGUUGCAAAAGAAGUAGGUAGCUUAACCUUCGGGAGGGCGC
rnacentral:rRNA from 1 species